ensembl:lncRNA
AAAAGCUUAGUUAAGGGGAACAACUACUUCAAGGUCUCAGAGCGAGUGGCGUCACCGACUGAAACGCUAUUAGCGCACACCCCGCUAACUAGCUAGCCAUUUCACAUCGGUUACACAUUGUCAGUAGUAGAUUCCACGAAGCAAAUCAUAAAUAAACCAUUUAGUUUGAGUUAUGUGAUGAUUUGUAUUAUAUAUCCCUGCAAUGGGGCUCCCGAGUAACGUAGCGGUCUAAGGCACUGCAUCUCACUGUUUGAGGUUGUCACUACAGACACCUCUGGUUCAAAUCCAGGCUGUAAUCACAACCGGCUGUGUAUUGGGAGUCCCAUAGGGCGGCGCACAAUUGGUCCGGGUUUGGCCGGUUGUAGGCCAUCAUUGUAAAUAAGAAUUUGUUCUUAACUGACUUGCCUGGUUAAAUAAAGAUAAGAAAAAAGAGACUGAAGGAGAUUCUUCAAGGAGAUGGAGAGACAACAGCACCCUCAAGGUUUGGAUCCCACUGCCCAAUUAUCAAUAUUGUCCAGAGUUUAUGUCAAAACAAGGCUACAUCGUCCUGACAGUCUGCUGGGUGCUGAGAAUGUCCAUGAUGAGAAGAUGUAGAGAAGCAGUCAUCCGCUGUAGAGAUCACAUUGGCAUUUGAGUGGUUCUAAAACAGUGUGAAAUCUCUCUGCAUAGGGAUUAUUCUCCGCACGAUAGGGAAGUUCAAGGCCCCACACAUUUUGUUCUCCUUCACCAUCUGUGACCAGGAGUGCCUCUUGGCUACAGAACUUCCCUAAAAGGUUUGUUCCUGUGACCCGGUUAACGUUGCAGUGACGGCUGGCAGAGCCGUCAUCAGAGACAUCCUUUUCGUUUGCAUAAAUGAUAUAUGAAAGGGGCUGGCAAACAGCUGGUGAGGAAGUCAAAUAGGUCAAUAGCUACCUCUCCCGAUGUGCUCA